rnacentral:rRNA from 1 species
UACGUUCCCGGGCCUUGUACACACCGCCCGUCACACCGCGAAAGUCGGCAAUACCCGAAGCCGGUGGCCUAACCCGUAAGGGAGGGAGCCGUCGAAGGUAGGGUCGAUGAUUGGGGUG